rnacentral:lncRNA from 10 species
AGUACCGGGAAAACAGGAGCGUGUGAUUGGGGUUUACAGUGUUUUCUCUCGCUCUCUCUGUUUCUAGGGAAUUCGGGCUGUGUUUAGCUGCUGGAAUAUCGUAGAAUUGGUUUUCAGAGAAGUUCCUCGACUCCUGAGGCGAAACAUAAAGGGAUGGGAGUGGUGUGGGAAGUGAUCGUGUGGGGAAAAAAAAGUUUCGAGCCCGUUUCGCAUUUGUGGAGACAGAGUUUUUGGUGUGACCACUCUUUUGUGGGAAACCCAAACCAAGGAGAACUCAGGAGAAUUGGCGCUCUUCGGUCCUGGAGGUUCCGCAGCUAACAUCCCGGCUUGACCAACUAUCGAGGCCGCAAAUUAAUAGGGCACCUCCUGGGAGGAAAACGCCCAUCCUGACUUCUCAACUGUGACAGUUUGCUCUGUCGCCCAGGAUGGAGUGCAGUGCAGUGGCGCGAUCCUGCAACCUCCGCCUCUCGAGUUCAAGCGAUUCUCCUGCCUCAGCCUCCCGAGUAGCUGGGAUUACAGACGCGCGCCACCCCACCCAGAUGAUCUUUUUAAAUGCAAAAUGCCAUCGACGCAGAAAAUCAAAGGUAUCCAUUGUAUCUGUGCGUUUGAGUUCUAGGAUAUGACAAAGAAAAACAAUUUAAAUAUUACGUAAAUUC